UACCAAAGUAGUUAAAUCGGCUCUUGGU
rnacentral:piRNA from 1 species